rnacentral:rRNA from 1 species
UGGGGAAUAUUCCGCAAUGGGGGAAACCCUGACGGAGCAAUGCCGCGUGAGGGAAGAAGGCCUUCGGGUUGUAAACCUUUGUUUUAUGGGAAGAUAGUGACGGUACCAUAAGAGGAAGCCCCGGCUAACUACGUGCCAGCAGCCGCGGUAAUACGUAGGGGGCGAGCGUUGUCCGGAAUUACUGGGCGUAAAGGGCGUGUAGGCGGUUUUUUAAGUUAGGAGUGAAAACUUGGGGCUCAACCCCAAGACUGCUUCUAAAACUGGGAGACUUGAGUGCAGAAGAGGAAAGUAGUAUUCCUGGUGUAGCGGUGAAAUGCGUAGAUAUCAGGAGGAAUACUAGUGGCGAAGGCGGCUUUCUGGUCUGUAACUGACGCUGAGGCGCGAAAGCGUGGGGAGCAAACAGG